UAUUUAGCUCAGCUGAUAGAAGCAGCAGAAGCAAGUCCUGGUGGAGAUUUAUUAUCCAUUUUUAAACUCAAAUUAAGUAUAAAGGACAUACAAUGGAAGAUGCUAUCUGAAUCCAGGGAAAGCACUGAUAACUAGAAGCCAGACUUUGAGCUCCUUUGGAGGAGGGACCUUGUCUCCUCUUGUUCCUCCCACUGUGGCAAAUAUCACCUUUCUGGGCACUGAUCAUGGCCAGUUAUCUCGACUGAUUAUUAAGCACAUACUUUACAAAGUAAAAGAGAGGUAUGGCUGGCAGAAAAAGUCUAGAACUUCAAUUCCUGAACAAAGGAGAAGAGGACAAUGUCAUAGAGGAAAGGGUCAUCUCUAACUGACCCCAGCAAGCCGAUCAACUGGAUUUCUCCAUGGUGUAACGAUUGGAAUGGCGCCACCUGCUGGAGACUUACUGUAGAAGAGUUCCGCCCAUGAAGCGAAGGUCUUUGAGGGCAAGACCAGGAGUCUUU